GGCCAUGGAAGUGCAUUAUGCAGAGAUAUGGCCCUCGGCUGGUAGAGCCCCGCACCUGUGCGGGGUCCGAUGCGUCCCCGACGGCCCUUGAAAAUCCGGAGGCGUGAAACAGUCUUGCGCCCGCCCGUACCCAUAUCCGCAUCAGGUCCCCAAGGUGAUCAGCCUCUAGUCCAUAGAACAAUGUAGAUAAGGGAAGCCGGCAAACUAGAUCCGUAACUUC
rnacentral:rRNA from 12 species